rnacentral:ncRNA from 1 species
GAAGUAAUUGAUUUUAUUACCUAAAUUAGAGUUAAUUUUUGAUAAACAUGUAAGUUUUAGCUUAUUUUGUAGUUUUAUUAAAUAUAAAAUUAUACUUUAUUACAUUCAGUUUUUAAUAUUAUUAAUUUUAUAAUUAUAAUUAUAGCAAAGAAUUUAAUUGUUAACAAAUUUUAGUGCCAGCAGUUGCGGUUACUCUAAUAACAAAAUUUUAAUUUUUUUGGUUAGGUAUUAAAUUUUAAUCGUCGUUUUGAUAAUAAUUUACUUUAUUAAGUGAAAUUUUAAAUUAAAAUUUAUCAAAGGUUUAAUAUAUAUUAAAUUUUAAUUUAAAACUAGGAUUAGAUACCCUAUUAUUAAAAGUUAAAUUUUUAACCUUAUUAUUAAAAGUUAUUUUCUUUAAAAUAAAUAAAUUUGGCGGUAAUUAAUUAAUUUUUUAGAGGAAUCUGCCCUAUAAUUGAUAAACCACGAGUAAUUUUAUUUUUAUUUUUACUUAUAUACCUCUAUCAUUGAAUGUUUUAUUAGAAUAUUUUCUUUAAUUAUUUUAUACUUAAUGUUAGGUCAAGGUUUAGUUGUAUAAAAGUAGAGGUGGAUUACAUUAAUUUUAAUUUUGAAUUCAAAAUUUUAUUAUUUUUGAUGAAAUUGGAUUUAAUUGUAAUUUUAAUUUUAUUAUUAAAAUGAAAUUUUUAAAGUUAUGUACAUAUCGCCCGUCACUCUCAAACAUUGGGAUAAGUCGUAACAAAGUAGGAUUACCGGAAGGUAACCCUGGAAGGAAAAU